rnacentral:rRNA from 1 species
AGUGAACGCUGGCGGUAGGCCUAACACAUGCAAGUCGAACGGCGGCACAGUAAGAGCUUGCUCUUACGGGUGGCGAGUGGCGGACGGGUGAGGAAUACAUCGGAAUCUACUUUUUCGUGGGGGAUAACGUAGGGAAACUUACGCUAAUACCGCAUACGACCUACGGGUGAAAGCAGGGGAUCUUCGGACCUUGCGCGAUUGAAUGAGCCGAUGUCGGAUUAGCUAGUUGGCGGGGUAAAGGCCCACCAAGGCGACGAUCCGUAGCUGGUCUGAGAGGAUGAUCAGCCACACUGGAACUGAGACGCGGUCCAGACUCCUACGGGAGGCAGCAGUGGGGAAUAUUGGACAAUGGGCGCAAGCCUGAUCCAGCCAUACCGCGUGGGUGAAGAAGGCCUUCGGGUUGUAAAGCCCUUUUGUUGGGAAAGAAAAGCAGCAGGUUAAUACCCCGCUGUUCUGACGGUACCCAAAGAAUAAGCACCGGCUAACUUCGUG